rnacentral:rRNA from 1 species
AUGAAGCAGACCGUGGUGAUGUACCCCGGCGCCGGCGUCGGCCACGUUGGCCCCAUGUCGGAGCUCGCCAACGUCUUCCUCGAGCAUGGCUACGACGUCACCGUGGUGCUCGUCGAGCCGCCUUUCAAGUCGACAGACUCCGCCGCCACCGCCAUCGAGCGCAUCGCCGCCUCCAACCCGUCCAUCUCCUUCCAUGUCCUCCCGCCCCUCCCUGCUCCAGACUUUGCAGCCUCCGGCAAGCACCCUUCCCUACUCAUGCUCCAGCUCUUGCACGACUAUAACGAGCGGUUGGAAGCGUUCCUCCGCGGCAUCCCCCGGAAAAAGUUGCACUCUGUCAUCCUCGACAUGUUCUGCGUCCACGCCACCGACGUCUGCGUGAAGCUCGGCGUCCCGGUCUACACGUUCUUCGUCGGGGGCGCCUCGUGCCUGUCUGUCCUAACCCAGGUCCCGGCACUGAUAGCCGGCAGGCAGACGGGCUUGAAGGAACUCGGGGACAUGCCCCUCGAUUUCCUCGGCGUCCCGCCGAUGCCAGCGUCUCAUCUCAUCAAGGAGCUGCUGGAGCACCCCGAGGAUGAGAUGUGCAAGGCCAUGACAGACAUCUGGAAGCGCAACACGGAGACCAUGGGCGUUCUGGUGAACACGUUUGAGUUGUUGGAGAGCCGGGCGGUGCAGUCUCUCAUGGACCUCCCCGGCAGAAAGCUGCCUCCGAUCUACUGCGUCGGGCCGUUGGUCAGCAAGGGCACCAAGGAUCAUUACAAAGCAGAGAGGAACGAGUGCCUUGAGUGGCUCGAUGCGCAGCCCGACCGCAGCGUGGUGUUCCUCUGUUUCGGGAGCAUGGGCACGCUCUCGGCGGAGCAGCUCAAGGAGAUGGCCGUUGGGUUGGAGAGGUCAGGGCAGCGGUUCCUGUGGUCCGUGCGCAAGCCCGCCGGAAGCAACAGCCGGACCUUGACGCGCUGCUGCCUCAAGGAUUCCUACAGCGGACAAAGGGCAGGGGCCUUGUCGUCAAGUCGUGGGCGCCGCAGGUGGCCGUGCUCCGCCACCAGGCGACAGGCGCGUUCGUGA